AGGCCCGCGGUGGGCGGGGCCACGGAAAAGAUGAAUUAGAUUGGGCGGAGCUAUACUGUCCAUCAGAGGGAGAACCCCUCCUCCUGUCGCCCAUUGGCCUUUAGUGAAAGAACCUCAGUUCGAGGAGGUACCAUCCACAUACAACGAGCCUGGGGCGCCCCCGUGUGGCCUGUACGUGCCCAGGGUCUUCCCCGUGUGGCUGUCUUUUCUCCAGGAACGUCCAGACCCUAAACUCAAUUUAGGUGCUACCAGGGAAGCGCCCUCUGCGACAUAUCCUGUGACCAGGGCCUUCCCGCUGGUUUAUGUGUUUAUUCAUUCAUUCAGCCGUGUAUUUAAUUAUUCUUUGAGUCAAAGACUCUAGUAACUGCUGGCGCUACAGCAAUGGCAAAACAGAGGUUUGUGUUCUCUUGGAGCUACUUAGUGGUAGAGGCAGGCAUGAAGUCAUCCCAGCAGAGUGUAACAGGUAUUACUACGGGGGAAUAACAGAGUUGCCAGAGCACAUGUAAGGGGCGGCUAUGUUUUGUCCUGAGGAAAUGACAUUGAAGCUGAAAUAUGAUAGAGCAGUAGCUGAAGAAUGUAUGUUUGGGGAGGGUGGGUGGCUGUUCCAGGCAAAGCUCACACCUUUGUCCCAGAAGCAAGAGAGACUGAUACUUGCUGAAAGGGACUGAAAGGCUUAGAAGUAGGUGUAGGGGACCAAAGGAAUUUUUUAAAGAUGCAUAACACCUUCCUAAGAAUUAGGGAUUGAAGCAGAGGUAUUAUUUUAUCAGAUUAGCAUGGCUGCUCUGGGAAGGAUAAUGGGAGGAGGCAAGUGUGGAAACGGGAGAUCAAAGAGGAAGCUGUGCAGUGGUCAGGCAGAGGAAGGUGACAGCUUGGCUUGGAGUGACGGCUGUGGGGUUGGACAGAAGUGGCAGGUCUACGAUGUUUUAGGAGGCAGGGUUCAUGAGGUUUGUGAAUGAACAGUUGAUAGAUAUGUAGUAGAUGGAGACAUGAAGGAGAAUCCCCCAAGCUUCUGGAUUGGGCAAAUGGACUUGUCCCCCAUUUGUUCGACAAACAUUCACAAAGCACAAUAAACACGAUGAAACAA